AUAGCAUUCACUUCAGCUCUCCAAACAGAAUCUUCAACCCACAACUUCUUUUAAGACAAAGGGAACCUGUCACAAGGAAAGAUCUACGUUCUCACUGUAAUUUCCCAACGUCCAAGUAAGUGACUGGAAAUAUGGGGGACAGAUAUAUACGCUACAGAGAUAUUGAUGUCGAUGGAGAUGAGUGGAAUUAUGAGCAGUUUCCAGAUGGAAGAUGGCACAGAGUACAGAAACGGCCGCGUCCACUUGCCAAAAGGGCAGCAAAGGCAGCUGGGAAGUCCGCAUUAAAGGGAGCGGGUGCAGCAGCUGAUCUCAUACUCAUAAGACAUGGGGUUGGAGGUGAAGCUAAAGCAAGCGUUAGUAAACAUGAGACAAAACCAGCUGAAGUGCACGUGGCUGAGGUGGCCAAACUGAAGGUCUUAUCAGCCGACGCAGGCGCUCGGGCCUUACACGCGUCUGCAUCAGCGUCCGCAUCACCUGUUGGAUUAAAUGCCAAAGCCAAAGCGAACAUGGCGGAGGCCGAAGCCAACGCAGCCCUUGUGGAGGGAUUACUGGAAGCCAACUCAAGAGCUGUUUAUUAUGGAGCAGAGGCACAUGCAGGUGUUGGAGUACAACAUCUUGGAGCCCAUGCAGGAGUUGCAGUAACAACAGCCAAAGCUGAAGUGGGCAUCUCCAACACCCCUCUGCAGGCCCACAUUCAGGGUCCCGGGGCGGACGCAGAGGCAGGGGUGUCCUGGAAGUAUGCAGGUGCGAGUGCAGGAGCGUACUUUGCAGAGGCGAAAGCUGGACCCUUCGCAGCACGAGCUGGAGUCAAGUUUGGAAUAGGAAUCAGAAAUGGUGUUCCUGAAGUGGACCUGGGGCCAGUCACAACUCCAUGCUCCAUAAUGUGAAUUGAACAAGACCUCCAGCCAGGCUGUUAGGUGCAGGGCCAAGGGGAGCAAUGGGACCCACUCUGAACAGUCCUCAAUUGAGAAUGAAAUGACAGAUGUGUUUAUGUGCGUUUAAUGUGUUUCUGAUUGUCGUUGUGUUUGUUAAUUUGUUGUUUGUUAGUUUGUUAGUUAAGCAAUUAGCUCAAAUCAUAUCUACAAGAGAGGAGCUUCUUUGUUGCCAUCACAACUGUACCUCAACACCAACGUCCUUGACCUGUGGUGUUCCUCAGGGGUUGAUCUUGGGGCCACUAUUAUUCAACCUCUAUAUGCUCCCACUUGGACAAAUCAUCCAAAAUAAUAGAUUUCAUAUCAUAGCUAUGCAGAUAGCACACUUUUACUUAGCGCCAAAUGACCAUGGUCCCCUUGAAUCUCUGUGUCAACAAAUCAACACCUGGAUGUCUGCGGAUGUUUCUUCAGCUGAACAAAGAAAAAACUGAAUUAUAUUUGAUAAAAAGGAGGAAAGACUUGCCACUCUCCUUGACACAAAAUUGGAAAGCAAAGGUGUUAAUUGACAGUGAUCUAAAUUUCAACAGCCACAUGAAAGCGAUAUCUAAAUCAGCUUUUUACCACCUCAAAAAUAUUGCCAAACUUGGGCUGAUGUCAAACUCAUUCAUGCAUUUAUCUCCAGCAGAGUUGAUUAUUGCAUUACCGGCCUUCCUGUAAAGACUAUCAAACAGCCUCAGGUGAUUCAAAAUGCAGCAGCUAGGGUUCUCAUAAAGACAAAAAGAACUGACUACUACAAGUCCCUGCACUGGCUUCCAGUAACUAGUCACAGAAUUUACUUUAAAGCACUAGGCUACUUGAACUACUUGAACAUAGAAACUAGAAUAUACAGUACGUGCAGUUAACGUCUCCACUUUACUCCUCCGUGGGUGUGGUGGUGUAACCUGGCGUACUCCCCGUACAACAGUGAAUAAACAGUCCUAUUGUUACACCAACUGUAGCCAGUUUUAAAUCUAGACCUAAGACCGAACUUCUCAGAUGCUUUCUGCUAACUGCACCAAGUUACACAUGCCUUUUGCUUUUCUGUUUGCUUUUGUUUAUGUAAAGCACACUGAUGACCUAUGUGUAUGAAAUGCACAAA